CUCCUGGAAACGGGUGGUAAUGCCGGAUGCUCCAGAUGACCGCAUGGGAUUCUGGGAAAGCUUUUGCGGCAUGGGAUGGGGUCGCGUCCUAUCAGCUUGAUGGCGGGGUAACGGCCCACCAUGGCUUCGACGGGUAGCCGGCCUGAGAGGGCGACCGGCCACAUUGGGACUGAGAUACGGCCCAGACUCCUACGGGAGGCAGCAGUGGGGAAUAUUGCGCAAUGGGCGAAAGCCUGACGCAGCGACGCCGCGUGCGGGAUGGAGGCCUUCGGGUUGUAAACCGCUUUUAUCGGGGAGCAAGCGAGAGUGAGUGUACCCGUUGAAUAAGCACCGGCUAACUACGUGCCAGCAGCCGCGGUAAUACGUAGGGUGCAAGCGUUAUCCGGAUUUAUUGGGCGUAAAGGGCUCGUAGGCGGUUCGUCGCGUCUGGUGUGAAAGUCCAUCGCUUAACGGUGGAUCUGCGCCGGGUACGGGCGGGCUGGAGUGCGGCAGGGGAGACUGGAAUUCCCGGUGUAACGGUGGAAUGUGUAGAUAUCGGGAAGAACACC
rnacentral:rRNA from 1 species